UACGUAGGUGGCAAGCGUUGUCCGGAAUUAUUGGGCGUAAAGCGCGCGCAGGCGGUUCCUUAAGUCUGAUGUGAAAGCCCACGGCUCAACCGUGGAGGGUCAUUGGAAACUGGGGGACUUGAGUGCAGAAGAGGAGAGCGGAAUUCCACGUGUAGCGGUGAAAUGCGUAGAUAUGUGGAAGAACACCGGUGGCGAAGGCGGUUUUCUAGCUUAUUCCUGACGCUGAGGCGCGAAAGCAAGGGGAUCAAACAGG
rnacentral:rRNA from 1 species